rnacentral:lncRNA from 1 species
UGGGAGGUGAGGGAGGAGUAGGAGGACAGGAGCUGGUUAUAAAAGGGCAUUCAGUAUACAUCUGAAAACUAUAAUAGUUAACUGUAUGAUCAGUAAGUAUACUGAAAAUAGAUCUUUGUAAAAAUUAGGAGUGGGAAUGCGAAAGAGAGAGGAUGAUUUGAAGUAUGGGUGAGAGGGAGGGUACAGGGAGAAGUGUCACUAUGUUCCUAUAUCUGUAUCUAUAAAAUAUAUAAAACAUGCAUAGCUUAAAUAAAAUUAAAAUAAAAAAUGAAAAAAGGACAAAAAGUAUGAAAACCUCACAUUGUACCCCAUAAAUAUACAAUUAAUAUUGGUCAAUUAAAAUGAAAAAAUUAAAAGAAUUUAUUUUUUAAAUGUAUUCAGCCACUUUGUUGUCUGCUUCUAAAAUUCCCUUGCACUCGAAACACCCCAUUGACACUCACACUCUGGAAACAUAGACAGGCAUUGUGGGCAGCAGAGGGAUUAAUUGUAAUUGCUAGCUUCUUUUGAGUCCAUUUAACCAAGUAGCAGAAGCACUGUGCCUUCCUCCAUGACUCCAGGCGCCUGGCAGCAGGCAGUGUUAUAUUACUCCUGGGUAGGAUGAACUCGUGGGAGCUGCAAGAACAGCUCAUGGAGAAAAAUUACCAUUUUAUAUUUAUUACUUUGACUAGCUUGAGUGUCAUAGGAAUAGACUCCCUAAUGCAUUAGAGAGCAAUUCCCACGCAAUUUGACUCCAUUGCUUGGUAAACUAUUUUUAGGGACUGUCUCAGGCGGCUUUUAAAGGCACAUGCCAUCCCAUUUUCAAAGAUUAUUUUAGUGGUUUGUCAAGAUGAUAUAAAUAUGAAUCUCUCUCUUCAGAUUAGAGAAAUAUGGGCCAUGCUGAAAUGAAAUCUGUAUUCUUGAAACAGAUGCCCAGGUUUUCCUUGCCUGGAAUUGUUAGAAAACACCAAUGGGAUGCAACCACCAGGACUUCAAGGCUUGCGCUCAAAUCCCAACUUUUUGCUCUUAAAAGGUGUGAACAUAGAGUUGGUGGUGUGAUACCACGGGUUCAGCUGCCGCCUGAUUCCCUGGCAUCUCAUAUGGGUGCCAUUUUGGAUUCCGGAUGCUCUACUUCCAAUCCAUCUCUCUGGAAUUGCACCUGGGAAAGCAGCAGAGAUGGCCCAAGUGCUUGGGCCCCUGCACCCACGUGGGAGACUGGGAUGAAGCUCUUGCCUCCUAGCUUCAGUCUGAUCCAGCCAUGGCCAGUUCAGCCAUUUGGGGAGUGGACCAUCUGAUGGAAGACUUCAGCUUGUCUCUUCUUCUGCCUCUCCUUCUCUGUAACUCCAUCUUUUAAAUAAAUAAAUAAUUCUUCAAUAAAGGUGCGGACA